ACGAACGCUGGCGGCGUGCUUAACACCUGCAAGUCGAACGGAAAGGCCCUGCUUUUGUGGGGUGCUCGGGUGGCGAACGGGUGAGUAACACGUGAGUAACCUGCCCUUGACUUUGGGAUAACUUCCGGAAACUGGGGCUAAUACCGGCUAGGAGCUCCUGCUGCAUGGUGGGGGUUGGAAAGUUUCGGCGGUUGGGGAUGGACUCGCGGCUUAUCAGCUUGUUGGUGGGGUAGUGGCUUACCAAGGCUUUGACGGGUAGCCGGCCUGAGAGGGUGACCGGCCACAUUGGGACUGAGAUACGGCCCAGACUCCUACGGGAGGCAGCAGUGGGGAAUAUUGCACAAUGGGCGGAAGCCUGAUGCAGCAACGCCGCGUGCGGGAUGACGGCCUUCGGGUUGUAAACCGCUUUCGCCUGUGACGAAGCGUGAGUGACGGUAAUGGGUAAAGAAGCACCGGCUAACUACGUG
rnacentral:rRNA from 1 species